AGUUAUGAGGGCAGUCAGGUUGGGAUAUCUGUCAGCCCAUUGAUUGCCAGGGAUGAUUUGGUUGAUCCAGAUGGCUAGGCAGGUGUCUCUUCCUCCCUUACCAGCCCGACUGCAUCCCUUCCAAAGCUGUGUCGUUGGUAAAAAAGAAGACCUUCCCUCAUGGAGGAGGGCCGGUCUUUGUCAAGGGUAUAUGAGUAGCUGCACACACCUCCAAACAAGCUCUCAACGUGUUUGGUUUGGACUUCUCCACCUUAACUAGGCAGUUCAUUUUAUUGAUUAAUUGUACCUGUGAUUGGACCCAG
ensembl:misc_RNA 7SK 7SK RNA